rnacentral:tRNA from 1 species
GGUUGUGGCUCAGUGGCAGAGUGCUCACCCUGCAUGUGCGAGGCCCUAGGUUCGAUCCUCAGCACUACCA